AUAAGAGAAGGCAAAAAAAAAAAAAAAAAAAAAAAGAGAGAGAGAGAGAAAAAAAAAUCACAAGAAACAUAAGUUAUUUAAGAGUGAGAGAGAGAAACAAUCAGCUAAAAAAAAUUGUCAUUGCCUCUGUAGAGCAAGAAGUGGAGUGUUAGAGGUGAGCUGGGAACUGGAGUUAAAACAAGCGUUGAUGAAUUGUAUGUAUUUGUCAUUUUCAUAAAUGUAAAAACUAAACUGAGAAAAGCCAUUUGAUAUUUCUGAAAUUACUUAGCGAAUAAGAAUUAUUAAAGAUCGUUUGAUUUUAACUCAGAUUUCUGUUUCUUCUUGGCUGUUUUCUGUUUGGGGGGAGCUGUUUGCGAUGUGGAUGGAUUACCAUUUAUUUGCCUGAAUAUAGGAAUUUACUUCUUUCAUAAUUUGAAAAGUGACCAUACUAGUAAACUUUAAAAUGUGUUCUAGGUGUGGCUUUAGCUGUUAUUCUCUGUAACACCCGGCAUAUUAGUGACAGUGUUUUCCUAGAAGCUGCAAAGGUAAAUGUUUUAAAUGUUGUUUAUUUUAUAAAGGAUGAAUUAUAAAGAUGAGUAGAUCUGAAAAUUAAAGGCAGAGAAUGGGUUAAAUCUGCCUUAUUAAUGAAAAGGAAGUUACUCAAAUUACUUUUAUGAUUUGCCUAUUUAUGCAUAAAAUUAAUUUUUUUAAUCAUGACUUAAAUUUUUGUAAACUGAAUCCUCUCAUUUUAAUAACACUUACACUAUACUUGCAAUUUGUAUAUCUGAAUAUAUUGUGACAGCAUAGAUAACUCCUUGCAUGUUUUUAAUGGACAAGUACUGGUAUUAUUUGGAGUGCUGGCCUAUGGGAGCUCCAGACUUUGAAGUAUUUCUGAAGAACUCACAUUAAUACAAUUAAUGUCUGUUUUCAAAGUAGCCAUUGCAAUUAAGCCAAGCUCUACAUGUGUAAUAUAAAGCAGAAUAUAAUCAAUAAGUCUUUAAAUCUGGUUAUUUAUUGUUUAGUGAUGAACAGUUUUAAUUUCUGCAGUGGUUUAAGUGUAUUCCUUCAAGAAAUAAGAGGAAUUAUAUUACCUGUAUUACUCUCUGUUUCCCCAAUGCUUUUUCCAUUUUACUGGGUCCUUAUUCUGUUAUUUAAACAAACAAAAGCAAAAUGCUGUUUUUCUCUUCAGGCCCUGACAAGCCAAUUGACAGAUGAAGAGCUAGCCCAAGGGAGACUUUACCCACCACUUGCUAAUAUUCAGGAAGUUUCUAUUAACAUUGCUAUUAAAGUUACAGAAUACCUAUAUGCUAAUAAAAUGGCUUUCCGAUACCCAGAACCUGAAGACAAGGCCAAAUAUGUUAAAGAAAGAAUAUGGCGGAGUGAAUAUGAUUCCCUGCUGCCAGAUGUGUAUGAAUGGCCAGAAUCUGCAUCAAGCCCUCCUAUGAUAACAGAAUAGAAGCACUCCCCGAUAAAUACUUUCUGUGCUCCAGGGAACCCCUUUUUUCAGACAAGAAGAGAUAAUGUCUUCAGUUUUAUGGUGUUUUCUGUGUUUUGUUCUCCCUGACCACUUUGGUUGAUGUAUUUUUUCCAUGCAUCUCCACAUCUGUUGGGGUAGACGUGUUGAUUGAUUGCAUUGCCCACCAGCACCCUACAAUCAGAUAGUUGUGAUGCUUUAAUUCUAACAUACAGCCCAUACCACAUCCAGGAGAUGUAAAAAGUGUGUUUGUGAAUGUCUUCACUUGUACUCUAAUUCAGACUUUCCAAAGUAUUUGCUAUUUACUAUUAUGGGUAAUACUCUUCUCUGGCCUAGUUCUUACAGAGCUACUAAAAUAGAAAUGUACUUUUAUGGAUAGAAGUACAGAAUUUUGAGAAGAAACUAAAUUUUCACCAAAUUUUAAGGAAAAAUUGUCAUUAUCUAAAAAUGUUCUUAUAUAUCUGCUUCAUCUUAGCUUCAUACUCUGAAAUUCCCUAUAGCAGACAGAGCUAGGGAAAUAUUAAAAAUUUACCCUAUUUAUUUUCUGGAAAUAAAUCAAGCCUUAACUAUAACAUUAUGAGAGUAAUGGGAACUACUGCUGGCUUUAAGUAAAUAAAAGUCAUUGUUUUCAACAG
rnacentral:sRNA from 1 species